GACGAACGCUGGCGGCGUGCCUAAUACAUGCAAGUAGAACGCAGUUUCGAACAGGUGAGUGACGCGCAGGUAACUGUGUGGUAGCGGGGGAUAACUCUUUGAAACGAUAGAUAAUACAGCAUACAACCAGAUAGACCUCCGUUGUAUUAGCUAGUGGGUGAGGUAACGGCCCACCAAGGGAACGAUACAUAGCCGACCUGAGAGGGGGAUCGGCCACACUGGGACUGAGACACGGCCCAGACUCCUACGGGAGGCAGCAGUAGGGAAUCUUCGGCAAUGGACGGAAGUCUGACCGAGCAACGCCGCGUGAGUGAAGAAGGUUUUCGGAUCGUAAAGCUCUGUUGUAAGAGAAGCGGUAUCUUACCAGAAAGGGACGGCUAACUACGUGCCAGCAGCCGCGGUAAUAC
rnacentral:rRNA from 1 species